rnacentral:rRNA from 1 species
UACAGAGGGGGCAAGCGUUGUUCGGAAUUACUGGGCGUAAAGGGCGCGUAGGCGGCCUGCUAAGUCGAACGUGAAAUCCCCGGGCUCAACCCGGGAACUGCGUCCGAUACUGGCAGGCUUGAAUUCGGGAGAGGGAUGCGGAAUUCCAGGUGUAGCGGUGAAAUGCGUAGAUAUCUGGAGGAACACCGGUGGCGAAGGCGGCAUCCUGACCGAAAUUGACGCUGAGGCGCGAAAGCCAGGGAGCAAAGCGGG